UGCGAACUCCUACGGGAGGCAGCAGUCGGGAAUAUUGCGCAAUGGAGGAAACUCUGACGCAGUGACGCCGCGUGCAGGAAGAAGGUUUUCGGAUUGUAAACUGCUUUUAACAGGAAAGAAAAAAAUGACGGUACCUGUUGAAUAAGCUCCGGCUAACUACGUGCCAGCAGCCGCGGUAAUACGUAGGGAGCGAGCGUUAUCCGGAUUUAUUGGGUGUAAAGGGUGCGUAGACGGAAAUGCAAGUUAGUUGUGAAAUACCUCGGCUUAACUGAGGAACUGCAACUAAAACUAUAUUUCUUGAGUAUCGGAGGGGUUUGUGGAAUUCCUAGUGUAGCGGUGAAAUGCGUAGAUAUUAGGAAGAACACCGGUGGCGAAGGCGACAAACUGGACGAUAACUGACGUUGAGGCACGAAAGUGUGGGGAGCAAACAGGAUUAGAUACCCUUGUAGUCCU
rnacentral:rRNA from 1 species